UACGUAUGGUGCAAGCGUUAUCCGGAUUUACUGGGUGUAAAGGGUGAGUAGGCGGCAUGGUAAGCCAGAUGUGAAAGCCUUGGGCUUAACCCGAGGAUUGCAUUUGGAACUAUCAAGCUAGAGUACAGGAGAGGAAAGCGGAAUUCCUAGUGUAGCGGUGAAAUGCGUAGAUAUUAGGAAGAACACCAGUGGCGAAGGCGGCUUUCUGGACUGAAACUGACGCUGAGGCACGAAAGCGUGGGGAGCGAACAGG
rnacentral:rRNA from 1 species